ACUCCUACGGGAGGCAGCAGUGGGGAAUAUUGCACACUGGGCGCAAGCCUGAUGCAGCCAUGCCGCGUGUAUGAAGAAGGCCUUCGGGUUGUAAAGUACUUUCAGCGGGGAGGAAGGCGAUAAGGUUAAUAACCUUGUUGAUUGACGUUACCCGCAGAAGAAGCACCGGCUAACUCCGUGCCAGCAGCCGCGGUAAUACGGAGGGUGCAAGCGUUAAUCGGAAUUACUGGGCGUAAAGCGCACGCAGGCGGUCUGUCAAGUCGGAUGUGAAAUCCCCGGGCUCAACCUGGGAACUGCAUUCGAAACUGGCAGGCUAGAGUCUUGUAGAGGGGGGUAGAAUUCCAGGUGUAGCGGUGAAAUGCGUAGAGAUCUGGAGGAAUACCGGUGGCGAAGGCGGCCCCCUGGACAAAGACUGACGCUCAGGUGCGAAAGCGUGGGGAGCAAACAGGAUUAGAUACCCGUGUAGUCCCAU
rnacentral:rRNA from 1 species